ensembl:miRNA tni-mir-187 tni-mir-187
GGCUGCAACACAGGACAUGGGUCUUGCCUCUGCCCGCCGCUCGUGUCUUGUGUUGCAGCCAGUGG